CCCUUAGAUGUUCUGGGCCGCACGCGCGCUACACUGGUGCAUUCAACGAGUCUAAAACCUGCUCUGAUAGGGGUGGGUAAUCUUUUGAAUGUGCAUCGUGAUUGGGAUAGAUGAUUGCAAUUUUUCAUCUUCAACGAGGAAUGCCUAGUAAACGCAAGUCAUCAGCUUGCAUUGAUUACGUCCCUGCCCUUUGUACACACCGCCCGUCGCUCCUACCGAUUGAAUGAUCCGAUGAAUAUCAUGGAUUGAGGAUGCAAGCAGGUUCGCCUGUCUUCAUCUUCGAGAAGUGAAGUAAAUCUUAUCAUUUAGAGGAAGGAGAAGUCGUAACA
rnacentral:rRNA from 1 species